AUGCUUUCUUAAGCAGCAUAUAUACUAAAAUAUGAAGAAUGCAGUACAUUAGCAUUGCCUCAGAACAAGGAUGACAUACAAGUUUUUGAAACAUAUUGCUUUCUU
ensembl:snRNA Gm22139 predicted gene, 22139